AUUGAACGCUGGCGGCAGGCCUAACACAUGCAAGUCGAACGGAUGAAGGGAGCUUGCUCCUGGAUUCAGCGGCGGACGGGUGAGUAAUGCCUAGGAAUCUGCCUGGUAGUGGGUGAUAACGUCCGGAAACGGGCGCUAAUACCGCAUACGUCCUGAGGGAGAAAGUGGGGGAUCUUCGGACCUCACGCUCUCAGAUGAGCCUAGGUCGGAUUAGCUAGUUGGUGGGGUAAAGGCCUACCAAGGCGACGAUCCGUAACUGGUCUGAGAGGAUGAUCAGUCACGCUGGAACUGAGACACGGUCCAGACUCCUACGGGAGGCAGCAGUGGGGAAUAUUGGACAAUGGGCGGAAGCCUGAUCCAGCCAUACCGCGUGGGUGAAGAAGGACUUCGGGUUGUAAAGCCCUUUUGUUGGGAAAGAAAAGCAGCAGGUUAAUACCCCGCUGUUCUGACGGUACCAAAAGAAUAAGCACCGGCUAACUGCGU
rnacentral:rRNA from 1 species